rnacentral:rRNA from 1 species
UAGGGAAUCUUCCACAAUGGACGCAAGUCUGAUGGAGCAACGCCGCGUGAGUGAAGAAGGUCUUCGGAUCGUAAAGCUCUGUUGUUGGUGAAGAAGGAUAGAGGCAGUAACUGGUCUUUAUUUGACGGUAAUCAACCAGAAAGUCACGGCUAACUACGUGCCAGCAGCCGCGGUAAUACGUAGGUGGCAAGCGUUGUCCGGAUUUAUUGGGCGUAAAGCGAGCGCAGGCGGAAUGAUAAGUCUGAUGUGAAAGCCCACGGCUCAACCGUGGAACUGCACCGGAAACUGUCAUUCUUGAGUGCAGAAGAGGAGAGUGGAACUCCAUGUGUAGCGGUGGAAUGCGUAGAUAUAUGGAAGAACACCAGUGGCGAAGGCGGCUCUCUGGUCUGCAACUGACGCUGAGGCUCGAAAGCAUGGGUAGCGAACAGGAUUAGAUACCCUGGUAGUCCAUGCCGUAAACGAUGAGCGCUAGGUGUUGGGGACUUUCCGGUCCUCAGUGCCGCAGCAAACGCAUUAAGCGCUCCGCCUGGGGAGUACGACCGCAAGGUUGAAACG